UACGUAGGGGGCGAGCGUUGUCCGGAUUUACUGGGCGUAAAGGGCGCGCAGGCGGUCUGGUAAGUUUGGAGUGACAGUGUUCGGCUUAACUGAGCAAGGCCUUCGAAAACUGCUGGACUUGAGCACUCAAGAGGGACAUAGAAUUCCGGGUGGAGUGGUGAAAUGCGUAGAUAUCCGGAGGAAUACCAAAGGCGAAGGCAGUGUCCUGGGGAGUGUCUGACGCUCAGGCGCGAAAGCUAGGGGAGCGAACAGG
rnacentral:rRNA from 1 species